rnacentral:rRNA from 1 species
AGAGUUUGAUCAUGGCUCAGGACUAACGCUGACGGUGUGCAUAAUACAUGCAAGUCGAACGGACGAUGAGAAAGUGGCAACACUUUUUCAAAGUUAGUGGCGAACGGGUGCGUAACGCGUGGGUAAUCUGCCUUAAAGACUGGGAUAGCUCCUCGAAAGAGGUGCUAAUACCGGAUGUGCUAUAUUUUUCUUAUGAUUUUUAUAGUAAAGGUAGCCGCAAGGCCUCCGCUUUAAGAUGAGCCCGCGUCCUAUUAGCUUGUUGGUAGGGUAACGGCCUACCAAGGCUGUGAUGGGUAGCCGGUCUGAGAGGAUGGUCGGCCACACUGGGACUGAGAUACGGCCCAGACUCCUACGGGAGGCAGCAGUAGGGAAUAUUGCGCAAUGGACGAAAGUCUGACGCAGCGACACCGUGUGAAGGAUGAAGAUCUUCGGAUCGUAAACUUCUGUCAAUUGGGGACGAAGGUAUUUAGGGUUAAUAGCCCUAAGUAUUGACGGUACCCAAUAAGGAAGUCUCGGCUUACUCCGUGCCAGCAGCCGCGGUAAGACGGGGGAGGCAAGCGUUGUCCGGAAUUAUUGGGCGUAAAGAGCGCGUAGGUGGUUUAUCAAGUCAUUUGUGAAAACUUUAGGCUUAACUUAAAGAUUGCAAGUGAUACUGGUAAACUUGAGCACAGCAGAGGAAAGUGGAAUUCCUGGUGUAGCGGUGAAAUGCGCAGAUAUCAGGAAGAACACCAGUGGCGAAGGCGGCUUUCUGGGCUGUUGCUGACACUGAGGCGCGAAAGCUAGGGGAGCGAACAGGAUUAGAUACCCUGCUAGUCUUAGCUGUAAACGAUGGACACUAGUGUGGGGGGGUUAUCGACGCCUUCCGUGCCGAAGCUAACGCAUUAAGUGUCUCGCCUGGGGAGUACUGACGCAAGGCUAAACUCAAAGGAAUUG